UGGGGAAUAUUGGACAAUGGGCGCAAGCCUGAUCCAGCCAUGCCGCGUGAGUGAUGAAGGCCCUAGGGUUGUAAAGCUCUUUUGUGCGGGAAGAUAAUGACGGUACCGCAAGAAUAAGCCCCGGCUAACUUCGUGCCAGCAGCCGCGGUAAUACGAAGGGGGCUAGCGUUGCUCGGAAUCACUGGGCGUAAAGGGUGCGUAGGCGGGUCUUUAAGUCAGGGGUGAAAUCCUGGAGCUCAACUCCAGAACUGCCUUUGAUACUGAGGAUCUUGAGUUCGGGAGAGGUGAGUGGAACUGCGAGUGUAGAGGUGAAAUUCGUAGAUAUUCGCAAGAACACCUGUGGCGAAGGCGGCUCACUGGCCCGAUACUGACGCUGAGGCACGAAAGCGUGGGGAGCAAACA
rnacentral:rRNA from 1 species